UUUCUUUGGGCCUAAAACUAACAGAAUCUUCGCCCAAUAAACCCUUUCUCUUCCCCUAAUAAGCUCAGCCUAUUGCCGGAGAUGUCUAAACAGAAACGAUUAAGCUUCUUCUUCGCAGCCACCGUUAUGUUUUGCAGUAACAUCAUGCAAUCAAGUUCACAUAAUCCCACGAACUCUUCUUUAAUGGAGCUUUAAUCAUAUCUUCAGUGGCCCAGUUCCGUGUAUAAAUACACCGGCUACAAGCAUAAGCCUAAUCUUUCAGAAUUUACAGGGUCUCUUAUUCAUUUAAGUGCUUCUUCGGUCAUGUAGACUUCUCAAAUUCGAUUUCCAGAGCUGAAGGCAGGCAGCUGCACACAAAGGGCGGUGAACUCAUGAAUGUUGACAUGCUGCUGACUGAUGUGAAGGCUUCGCUCAUCCAAGCCUCUGUAACCGUGCAUCGGAUCACCACACUCAAAAAUACACUUUGAAGAAAAUGAUCAAUGAGAGAGUGAGCCAGGCGAUCUUGGUGAGUGGUAAAAGCAGUGCUGGGAAGAUAGAGAGCAUAAAGAAGCUCAUGUGGUUACUCACCUACAUGGGGGAAAGUGUUGAUAGUGAAGAACGAUCUGUGGAGCAACAAGUUUUAGAGAUAUUCCAAUCCAGUUUUAGAAGCUUAUGGCAAGUGAAAAUCCCAAGAAACAAUACUUCACCGUAAAGUGGAUGAGUCUCAAGUUUGGUAAGUUGUCCAUUUUUAAUUAUAAUCCCUUGAACCUAAAUUUAAGAUACUAAGACAUAUCCCACGUUGCAAUUAUUUUGGUAAUUUGCUGGAGAUUCAAAACGACGAUAUAGGAAGAAUCUCAGGAGCUAUAACAGGAUAUUUUUGUUAGAGAGGUUGCGGGUUUGUCAAGUUUAGUACUCUGAAAGAAACUAUUAUUUCUUUUACAUGAUUUGUGCUGCACUAGAAAAGGUAAGCCUGAUUUCUUCUAUGGUGGCGAUAGGUUUAAAUUUUAGAUAUCAUGUAUGUGUUGGAUGGGUUAAUGAUUCCAAGGAAUACAUAGAUACAAGGAAAGCUAUUGACGAUGUUGGGCUUUGAUUCUUAAGAUCAGGAUUCAUUCUUCCGUGUAGUGGCUGUAUUCCUUCAUCUAGGGAACAUGGAGCUUGCAGAGGGUGAAGAAUGAGAAACUUCAGAAUCUUAAACUUGACGAGAAAUCACGGUUCCAUUCAAACCUCAAAGUUGUUCAUGCUAACGCUAAGGAAUUCAUCGUAGCAAGAUGUUAAUCAACAUUGUGUUCGGAAUCAGUGUCAUAUGGUGUUGAUGUGGCCGUUUGGACUUCACGUCGUAUCAUUGAUCUAAUAAUGUUAGGAGUUUUAUAUCUAUCAAAGGGUCAAUUUCCUUUUAUUUGUUAGGGAAUCUCUUCGUUGAGACGUUUGAUCUAUUAUAAGGAAGAAAUCAACAUUUGAUUGCAGUAAAGGCAAAUUUAAAUAAUAUAUUUCAAGAGGGAGGGUGACACUGAUAAAAAUACAGAAGACCGACAAUACCUCUCUUUUACUUUUUGCCAGCUCCAUCACCGAGAGACAUUGUUUUAAGCAGCACGGAUUGCCUCACCACAUUGCCAAUCUUUUCAUGGAUAUUGGCUUAUUGCUUAACAUGUCAACAGUUUUGGAUAACUCAUUUUCUGCAUUAACAACAAAUUCGCUAGGCCCACCAAUGGCUCGAAUGGAGAUCACAUACGUGGCUUGCCUCCCCCACCAUACGCAAUACGUAUUGCCUAAUAACAAAAACAAAUUGUAUAUAAUAGUUCAGCUUUGAAUCCACAGAAACCUUGAUUUUUGGGAGGUAUUAGUCAUCUUCUUUUUCAUUAUAUCA